ensembl:lncRNA
CUGUCCGUUCAACAUCCUGCAUUACAGUGCCAGAUAUAUGACUGUAUGUAUGUUUUACAUCCAACAAGGGUUUCCUCAGGCCUUGUUCUGCACACACGGAAGGAGGGACAAUGUUGGGGGUCAGAAAACCUGAAUGAUUGAGUUAAAGUGUGAGUUUGAGCUGGGUUAUUUACAGAAGUGUGUCACCGCUGCAUAUGUGUUUUGACUAUACCUGUGUCCUUCAUUGGUUCACCACGUACAUUCCUGUCCUGUUUUUCGGAGGUUUUUCUCUGACAUCCUGUUAAAACCAAUUAAAAAGUCAAUUAACAUUAGAUGACAAUGAAGGGCAUGUAUAAACCAUAACGUCUAUCAGCAUUAGAAAUAACUUUUUAUGUCAAAAGUCAUUAAGUACUUUUUUUUUCUUUUAGUAUCGUUAACUUAAAAUUAUUAUUAUUGUUUAUUUAUAUUUUUGGUUUUAUUUAUUUGAUCUUGUAUGUUUUGAUUAUUUCAUUUUAUUUAAAUGUUAGAUAUAUUUGAUAUUCCUUUAUAUAUUUAUAUUUUGUGUAUAUAUAUUUUUUUACUUUUAUUAAUAUUGUGAUUUUUUUUCUGUUGUGAGACCUCUUUUUUAUUUACUUACUGUAAAAUAUUGUUCUUUUUUAUUGUUUUAUUUUUGUUUUUAUAUUUUGGUUUAUUGUUCUUCCAUUUUUGUGUGUGUGUGUGUGUGUGUCUGGGGCCAUAUGGGUUGGGCUGUUUCGGGUGAUUUAGAUAAUUUUGUUUAUAUCAUCACUGUGAAUCAUCCAGCUUGUUAUUAAUAUAAAUGCCAGUACCUUAACAAACGCCUCCGUUCAGCUCCGUUCAGUUAAUCACUCUCUGCUAUGAUCAGCUGUCCCCCUAAACCUGCUGCUCGGAUGCAUUCAGCCCUGGAGGCCUGAAUGAGGGUUGGUUUCAAAGCUUAAGUCUUUCUCUCCUGGCUCCUGUUAUUGUUCGAAUGUAGGCAGGGCAUUGUGAGCGGUGACGCCGGGGCUACUGGACGAUGGAGGAGAUGCAGAUGGAGGCCUCACAGUCUCUGAACGAGAGUCGAGUUUCCCACGCUUCAGGUUUCUUAGGUUUCCCCGCACAAAGAGGGGCCUGUGCAGGCGACGGGGACACUGGAACGCAGGUGUGACUCUCAAAUUGUCCAGUUCAUACAGCAGCAGGCAAGAGCUGAUCCAUUAUGACUGUACCAGCAGGGAUGUCUGGAUUGAAGUACAUGGGAGGAUUCAUCUCUUCAGCUUCAUUCAUGAAAACUCUUCGUUUCGGACAACAGCACCAGAUCACCACCUGAGAGGAGGAACACCGUUGUCCUUUAACUGUUAACACUGAUAAAAACACCCCCAAAAUGUUCCAACUUGGCUUUGAAGUAUUUUGCCAUGAUAGUCUUGCUUUAUAUAUAAAUAUGGUAAUCAUUUAGUAGCAUUGUAUAUAUACGGUGGACCAGUAGUGCACCACACAACAAAAUCUCCAUAACACAACAAUAUUGCAUACAACUAGUUUUUGUUGUGUUGUGCUAAUUUGGUAGUGUUUCAGCUAAUUGUUUUGUGUUGCAGCUUGUUUCCAUUGUGUUGUGCUAAUUUGGUUGUGUUGUGGCUUGUUUCCGUUGCGUUGUGCUAAUUUCGCUGUGUUUCACCUUGUUUCUGUAAUUUUGUUGUCUUGCGGCUUGUUUAAAUUGUGUUGUGGUAAUUUCGUUUUUGUGUUGUGCCUUGGUUUUCGUUGUGUUGUGCUAAUUUCAUUGUGUUGUGCCUUGUUUCCAUUGCAUUGUGCUAAUUUUGUUGUGUUGUGGUUUGUUUUUGUUGUGUUGUGGAGAUUUCGUUGUGUUGUGCACUACUGGGCUACCGUAUAUAUAGCCUAUCAAAGGUUAAAUUGCAUAUAAUCUGAUUCCAAAACUGUGCCAAUGUGCUGCCUCUAUACUUAGGGAUAGUAGUACAAAAGUUGGUCAGUUUUAUUAUUUAUUCAAAUGAAACAAUCAAAUGUGACACCUUUCAAACAUAUCACAAAUAUCCUAUCUUAAAGUUGCUAUCAUGUUCUUCUAUAAAACCAAAGGUUUAUAUUACAUUGAUCCUAA